GUUUUUAUAGUUUAAAAAAAACAUUAAUUUUGUAAAUUAAAAAUAUUUAAUAUAUUAAAAACU
rnacentral:tRNA from 1 species